rnacentral:rRNA from 1 species
CUGCCCCUGUCAGGGGGACAACCCGCCGAAAGGCGGGCUAAACCCGCGUACAUGCCACCGGGGCAUCCCGGAGGCAGGAAAGGCUUCGGCCGGACAGGGAUGGGCAUGCGGCGCAUUAGGCAGUAGGCGGGGUAACGGCCCACCUAACCGACGAUGCGUAGGGGUUCUGAGAGGAAGGUCCCCCACACUGGUACUGAGACACGGACCAGACUCCUACGGGAGGCAGCAGUGAGGGAUAUUGGUCAAUGGUCGGGAGACUGAACCAGCCAAGCCGCGUGAGGGAUGAAGGUACAGAGUAUCGUAAACCUCUUUUGUCAGGGAACAAAGGCGGGGACGUGUCCCCGGAUGAGUGUACCUGAAGAAAAAGCAUCGGCUAACUCCGUGCCAGCAGCCGCGGUAAUACGGAGGAUGCGAGCGUUAUCCGGAUUUAUUGGGUUUAAAGGGUGCGCAGGCGGUCUGUUAAGUCAGCGGUCAAAGCCCGGGGCUCAACCCCGGCCCGCCGUUGAAACUGGCAGUCUCGAGUUGGAGAGAAGUAUGCGGAAUGCGCGGUGUAGCGGUGAAAUGCAUAGAUAUCGCGCAGAACUCCGAUUGCGAAGGCAGCAUGCCGGCUCCACACUGACGCUGAGGCACGAAAGCGUGGGUAUCGAACAGGAUUAGAUACCCUGGUAGUCCACGCAGUAAAC